AGUGAACGCUGGCGGUAGGCCUAACACAUGCAAGUCGAACCGCAGCACAGUAAGAGCUUGCUCUUACGGGUGGCGAGUGGCGGACGGGUGAGGAAUACAUCGGAAUCUACUUUUUCGUGGGGGAUAACGUAGGGAAACUUACGCUAAUACCGCAUACGACCUACGGGUGAAAGCAGGGGAUCUUCGGACCUUGCGCGAUUGAAUGAGCCGAUGUCGGAUUAGCUAGUUGGCGGGGUAAAGGCCCACCAAGGCGACGAUCCGUAGCUGGUCUGAGAGGAUGAUCAGCCACACUGGAACUGAGACACGGUCCAGACUCCUACGGGAGGCAGCAGUGGGGAAUAUUGGACAAUGGGCGCAAGCCUGAUCCAGCCAUACCGCGUGGGUGAAGAAGGCCUUCGGGUUGUAAAGCCCUUUUGUUGGGAAAGAAAAGCAGCAGGUUAAUACCCCGCUGUUCUGACGGUACCCAAAGAAUAAGCACCGGCUAACUUCGU
rnacentral:rRNA from 1 species